CAAUUGUCGAGAAUUUCUCCCGUAUUGAGAAGAAUUGCUCCUGGUAAAUGGCCAACGCGUGACCAACGCUCUCCACUUGGACUCUGAAUUUCAAGACCGCCCUCGCUAUCCUGUAAAUUAUAUAAAUUCAUGUAAUACGAUGCGUGGAUGGAGAGACACCUACGCAAAAAGCGUUUUCCCCAUUUGAAAAAGAAGAGAUCAUAAAUCUUUUGUCGACAUUUUUACAUUAUGAAAACCAGUUGCUUACCUGGGAAAGGAAAAACAAAAGAUGAGGAAAUUGGAAGAAAUUUGAUGAAAUCGGAUGAAUUUUUGUAGAGGAAUAGAUAAAAAUUGAGGAGAAUGGGAUUGAAAAAUUUAAAGGAAUAUAUACAAUGCGACUUUUAAGUAUUCAAG